rnacentral:misc_RNA from 1 species
GAAAUGCGAUAAGUAGUGUGAAUUGCAGAAUUCAGUGAAUCAUCGAAUCUUUGAACGCAAAUUGCGCCCCUUGGUAUUCCAUGGGGCAUGCCUGUUCGAGCGUCAUUUGUACCCUCAAGCUCUGCUUGGUGUUGGGUGUUUGUCCCGUCUCCGCGCGUGGACUCGCCCCAAAGUGAUUGGCAGCCGGCGUACUGGUCCCGGAGCGCAGCACAUGUCGCGCAAACGAGUGCCUUGGUACGGCGGCGUCCAUAAGCCCCUCUCUCACGCUCUUGACCUCGGAUCAGGUAGGGAUACCCGCUGAACUUAAGC